GCGGCCGUAACUAUAACGGUCCUAAGGUAGCGAAAUUCCUUGUCGGUUAAAUACCGACCUGCAUGAAUGGCGUAACGAGAUGGGAGCUGUCUCAACCAGAGAUUCAGUGAAAUUGUAGUGGAGGUGAAAAUUCCUCCUACCCGCGGCAAGACGGAGAGACCCCGUGGACCUUUACUACAACUUAGCACUGCUAAUGGGAAUAUCAUGCGCAGGAUAGGUGGGAGGCUUUGAAGUAAGGGCUUUGGCUCUUAUGGAGUCAA
rnacentral:rRNA from 1 species